GUAGGGAAUCUUCGGCAAUGGACGAAAGUCUGACCGAGCAACGCCGCGUGAGUGAAGAAGGUUUUCGGAUCGUAAAACUCUGUUGUUAGAGAAGAACAAGGACGUUAGUAACUGAACGUCCCCUGACGGUAUCUAACCAGAAAGCCACGGCUAACUACGUGCCAGCAGCCGCGGUAAUACGUAGGUGGCAAGCGUUGUCCGGAUUUAUUGGGCGUAAAGCGAGCGCAGGCGGUUUCUUAAGUCUGAUGUGAAAGCCCCCGGCUCAACCGGGGAGGGUCAUUGGAAACUGGGAGACUUGAGUGCAGAAGAGGAGAGUGGAAUUCCAUGUGUAGCGGUGAAAUGCGUAGAUAUAUGGAGGAACACCAGUGGCGAAGGCGGCUCUCUGGUCUGUAACUGACGCUCAGGUGCGAAAGCGUGGGGAGCAAACAGGA
rnacentral:rRNA from 1 species